ACGGAAGGCAGCAGUGGGGAAUAUUGGGCAAUGGGCGCAAGCCUGACCCAGCAACGCCGCGUGAAGGAAGAAGGCUUUCGGGUUGUAAACUUCUUUUAUCAGGGACGAAGGACGUGACGGUACAUGGAGAAAAAGCAACGGCUAACUACGUGCCAGCAGCCGCGGUAAUACGUAGGUUGCAAGCGUUGUCCGGAUUUACUGGGUGUAAAGGGCGUGUAGGCGGAGCUGUAAGUCAGAUGUGAAAUCCCGGGGCUCAACCCCGGAAUUGCAUUUGAAACUGUAGCACUUGAGUAUCGGAGAGGCAAGCGGAAUUCCUAGUGUAGCGGUGAAAUGCGUAGAUAUUAGGAGGAACACCAGUGGCGAAGGCGGCUUGCUGGACGACAACUGACGUUGAGGCGCGAAAGCGUGGGGAGCAAACAGGAUUAGAUACCCUGGUA
rnacentral:rRNA from 1 species